rnacentral:rRNA from 1 species
AUGCAAACACAUGUACUACCAGCCAGUGUCAUUCAUCAGCAUCUCACACAGGGCCAGGGGUGCAGAGGCAGCAUGCUGGUGCCGGUGAGCCGGGCCGCCGCGGCCAUGUACAACUCCAGCGCCGGCAGCGGCGCCUCGCCGGGGAGGCCAUUAAGCAUCGCCUUCAACUUUACCGUGGGGUGCGCCACCCCGGGCGUCAUGAUGGUGGAAAGCUUCACUGUGUCCGCCGACAUGCGCACCACCGAGCGGCUCAUGGUCACCACCACGGUCCUCAUGACACUCCUCGGCACCGCCCUCUUCUUCCUCGGCGUCUUGGGCCGCCUGUCUGGCCGGGGCCGCGGCCACUCCGCCGCCACCCGCAUCUUCUUCCGGGCAUCCUUCGCGCUCUUCCUCCCCUUCAUGUCCUACAUGUUCUCCCAGGCCAAGAGCAAGGGCAACAAGCCACGCGCGCAACUCAUCCUCCUCUGGAUGCUCAUCGUGGAGCUCCUCCGCAAGAAGGUCUAUGCCAUGGUCGCCCCCGCCGGCCUCGCCUUCACACGUGGUGUCACCCGCUAUAGCUCCUUCGACGCCGUAGAGGAGGCCGCGAGCAUGGUGUGGAUCGGCUACCUCGUCUACGCAUACGUCCAUGAUGGUGUCAAGCCCUUCUUCAUCAUCCUUUGGAUCUUCAGUGUCGCCAAGAUGUGCAAGCGUGCUAUCUGCAUCCACCUUGCCAAGCGCUCCUUCGAUCUCGCCAAGAAUGCCGCCCUCGUCUCCGGCUACAUGGCGCAACUCGUCCGCGCGCGCCGACAAUUGUCUAGCGACAGCAACCAACACACUUUGGGAACCAACAUCAUGCGGAGUUGUAACUACCUAGUCAUGGGGGAGAGCCGGCUCAAGAGAGAGCUGACACCCCAUGGCUUUGAGAUCUGCGACCAAGAAAUGAAGAACAUUCUCCCCAACGACGACAGUCCAAAUGAAGACCAUGCGGCCAGCAAGACCGAGUUGAUCCGGGUAUGUAACAUCUGGGACCUCGCCGACAGUGACCACAUAUUUCGGUACAAUGAGAGCAGGAAGCGCAAGCUGGAGGACAUCUGCCUUGCUCUCACACUCUUCAAGCUACUCCGGCGAAAGGUGGAGCACUUCCACAUGGCAGAGGCAGAGACCACACAAGCACGAGAUCUCGUGCUUCAUGGCCUCCUUGCCCUUGAGGACAACCGGGACGAGGCGGCCGGCGCCGAGCGAGCAUUCGAGGUGGUGGAGCUGGAACUCAGAUUCCUUGAUGAGUACUACCAAGCCAUCAUCCCACUAGCAUUGCCCAACCCGGGGAUAUUCAUAGCCAACUUCGUAUUCUCGAUCGUCUUCAUCCUCCUAUAUUGCAUCACCGUGCUCCUUGUAACAGGCAACGGGCACAUCUUCAAGGUGCUAGGCUCUCUCUUCAAGGGGCUCAUCGACCUGUCGAUUGACAUGGUGGUGCAGUACAAGUGCUUCUCCCACCAGAUGAGCUUCCUCUUCAACAUGGUCUGCUCCUCCUCUGAUCUAAUUGUCACCUUCCUGCUCACGCUCACCUUACUCGCCGUCGAGGCAUACGAGUUCAUGCAAUACCUGCUCUCAGACUGGUUCAUCGCAUCCUUGCUCUGCAACUAUGCCCGGAAGCAAAAACCCAUCCAGAAGCAGCUCGUCAAGGGCACCUUGUGGGCGAAGCACCGCUCGCGCCCCGUCAUCAAGGUCCACCAGGUCACCAUGCUCAAGCUCCACCAGCUCCACCCACGCCGAGUGUGGAUGCUCGUGUCCCACCUGCUCAAGAGGCGCCUCGUCGGGCUCCCUGACGCCAUCGUCACCAUCGACGCCAAGAUGGCCAUCGUCAGGGUCUUGAAGGACGUCCUCACACCCAACCAUGGCCGACGCUUCAGCAACGGUAUAGCUGCAUUGGGCAGGCAUGGCUUCACUCACCUUGAGUGGGCGUGUGACGACAAGCUGGGCGGCGCGGGAAUGGUGACCAUGGUGUGGCACAUCGCGACGACGUUGUUUGAGACGAGAGACCGGCAAAAGCACCCACUGCCGCCAUAUGGCCAGGCCGCCCUAACGCUAUCCAGGUAUUGUGCGUACCUGGUGGCCUAUGAGCCGGGGCUCCUCCCGGACGACGAGGCGUGGACGGAGAAGGUGUACAAGGACAUCAAGGGGGAGCUUAACAACUUCUUCAAGAGUUGCUUCACCACCGUGCAACGCCGUAAACGGUUGAUGGUGUUGUGUCCCGCCGAAGAGGAGGGGAAGUCAUCCAUGGCCAAGGGUGUCAAGCUCGGGGAGCAGCUAGAGAAUGGAGCUAGUGGCGGUGACACCAUGCGCGAGGAUGAGAAGGUUUGGGGGAUGCUGCUCGAGUUCUGGGCGGAGCUGCUUGUGUUUGUGGCGCGUAGGUCGGCAGGAGGGCCGGAGGCACACGCGCAUGCGUUGGCCAACGGUGGUGAGUUCAUCACCCACAUCUGGGCCAUGCUCACCCAUGCCGGCGUCCAGGUUCCCAAGCACCAUCAGGAGGAGGACCCAACCCCAUCGCUCCAUCCGGUUUGA